GAUGAACGCUGGCGGCGUGCCUAAUACAUGCAAGUCGAGCGAACGGACGAGAAGCUUGCUUCUCUGAUGUUAGCGGCGAACGGGUGAGUAACACGUGGAUAACCUACCUAUAAGACUGGGAUAACUUCGGGAAACCGGAGCUAAUACCGGAUAAUAUUUUGAACCACAUGGUUCAAAAGUGAAAGACGGUCUUGCUUUCACUUAUAGAUGGAUCCGCGCUGCUUUAGCUAGUUGGUAAGGUAACGCCUUACCAAGCCAACGAUGCAUAGCCGACCUGAGAGGGUGAUCGGCCACACUGGAACUGAGACACGGUCCAGACUCCGACGGGAGGCAGCAGUAGGGAAUCUUCCGCAAUGGGCGGAAGCCUGACGGAGCAACGCCGCGUGAGUGAUGAAGGUCUUCGGAUCGUAAAACUCUGUUAGUAGGGAAGGACAGAUGUAUAAGAAACUGUGCACAUCUUGACGGUACCUAAUCAGAAAGACACGGCUAACUACG
rnacentral:rRNA from 1 species